AUGAUUCCACAGUUUUUUGUGCAUGACAGAGAGGAAGCCUGCUGCUAUAAGCUCAAUGUAUCAAUGAAUAAGCUCAUCGCUGUGGAAGCCCUGAUGUUUGUGGGCUUCCUGGGAUGCUACAGGGCCAUCCAGGAGUCCCAGUGCCUGCUGGGGAUGUUCUUGCCCUGCCUUGUGAUCCUAUGUGCCUGUGAGGUGGCCGCUGGCAUCUGGGGCUUUGUAAACAAAGACCAGAUUGACAAGGAUAUGAAGCAGUUCUACGACCAGGCCCUUCAGCAGGUGGUGGUGAACAAUGACACCAACAAUGCCCAGGCUGUGAUAAAGACCUUCCAUGAGACACUCAACUGCUGUGGCUCCAACACGCUGACCACACUGACCACUUCGGUGCUGAGGAACAACCUGUGCCCCUCAGGCAGCAAUAUACUCACCAACAUGCUUCAGGAGAACGGCUACCACAUCCAUGAGCUCUUCUCCUAGAAGCUGUACCUCAUCGGCAUCGCAGCCUUUGUGGUGGCUGUCAUCAUGAUCUUUGAGAUGAUUCUGAGCAUCAUGCUGUGGCAUCAGGAACAGCUCCAUGUACUGA